UCGUCAGACGAACGCUGGCGGCGUGCCUAAUACAUGCAAGUCGAACGAACUCUGGUAUUGAUUGGUGCUUGCAUCAUGAUUUACAUUUGAGUGAGUGGCGAACUGGUGAGUAACACGUGGGAAACCUGCCCAGAAGCGGGGGAUAACACCUGGAAACAGAUGCUAAUACCGCAUAACAACUUGGACCGCAUGGUCCGAGUUUGAAAGAUGGCUUCGGCUAUCACUUUUGGAUGGUCCCGCGGCGUAUUAGCUAGAUGGUGGGGUAACGGCUCACCAUGGCAAUGAUACGUAGCCGACCUGAGAGGGUAAUCGGCCACAUUGGGACUGAGACACGGCCCAAACUCCUACGGGAGGCAGCAGUAGGGAAUCUUCCACAAUGGACGAAAGUCUGAUGGAGCAACGCCGCGUGAGUGAAGAAGGGUUUCGGCUCGUAAAACUCUGUUGUUAAAGAAGAACAUAUCUGAGAGUAACUGUUCAGGUAUUGACGGUAUUUAACCAGAAAGCCACGGCUAACUACGUGCCAGCAGCCGCGGUAAUACGUAGGUGGCAAGCGUUGUCCGGAUUUAUUGGGCGUAAAGCGAGCGCAGGCGGUUUUUUAAGUCUGAUGUGAAAGCCUUCGGCUCAACCGAAGAAGUGCAUCGGAAACUGGGAAACUUGAGUGCAGAAGAGGACAGUGGAACUCCAUGUGUAGCGGUGAAAUGCGUAGAUAUAUGGAAGAACACCAGUGGCGAAGGCGGCUGUCUGGUCUGUAACUGACGCUGAGGCUCGAAAGUAUGGGUAGCAAACAGGAUUAGAUACCCUGGUAGUCCAUACCGUAAACGAUGAAUGCUAAGUGUUGGAGGGUUUCCGCCCUUCAGUGCUGCAGCUAACGCAUUAAGCAUUCCGCCUGGGGAGUACGGCCGCAAGGCUGAAACUCAAAGGAAUUGACGGGGGCCCGCACAAGCGGUGGAGCAUGUGGUUUAAUUCGAAGCUACGCGAAGAACCUUACCAGGUCUUGACAUACUAUGCAAAUCUAAGAGAUUAGACGUUCCCUUCGGGGACAUGGAUACAGGUGGUGCAUGGUUGUCGUCAGCUCGUGUCGUGAGAUGUUGGGUUAAGUCCCGCAACGAGCGCAACCCUUAUUAUCAGUUGCCAGCAUUAAGUUGGGCACUCUGGUGAGACUGCCGGUGACAAACCGGAGGAAGGUGGGGAUGACGUCAAAUCAUCAUGCCCCUUAUGACCUGGGCUACACACGUGCUACAAUGGAUGGUACAACGAGUUGCGAACUCGCGAGAGUAAGCUAAUCUCUUAAAGCCAUUCUCAGUUCGGAUUGUAGGCUGCAACUCGCCUACAUGAAGUCGGAAUCGCUAGUAAUCGCGGAUCAGCAUGCCGCGGUGAAUACGUUCCCGGGCCUUGUACACACCGCCCGUCACACCAUGAGAGUUUGUAACACCCAAAGUCGGUGGGGUAACCUUUUAGGAACCAGCCGCCUAAGGUGGGACAGAUGAUUAGGGUGAAGUCGUAACAGGGUAACCCGUA
rnacentral:rRNA from 1 species